rnacentral:tRNA from 1 species
GACAGCUGUGUCAGUUGGUAGAGCACAUGCUUAACAUCUCUUGAUCGGUGUUCGCAUGUUGUCGUCGGUUCGAGCCCGGCCAGAGUCA